CUUUGAAGAUCAUUUUCCUUUCUAUUUUUUAUUAAAGAAACGGUGCUACCUGACUGGACAGAGCUCUUUGACAAACAUGUUCUCUCCCCAUCAAGUCCUAGACGGCAACUCUCACUUGUAGAUGCCAUAAUUAUGAGCCCUUGUCAGUGAAGUGAGAUAAAACUUGGAGUCUCAACCGACCCACAGCUCAUAUCAUGCGGAUUAGAUCCGGCUAUCCCGUUAUACCCAUGUUCUGUUAUUUGGUUUGGCGUCUGGUUAGUGCUAAGAGAAUAUUCAGUAGGCAAAUCCUCCUGCGUAAACUACAAUGGUGUAAGGGUAACUGGACACACUUCCUGGAAUGGAUCCGAAUACACCAGUCAGUACAACUAAGUACUAAUUUUAAAAUGCAAGUCCGAGACCAAGACAGAGAAGUCUUCUAAGUUAUGCGCCAGGUAGAAGAGCUGUCGCAGCAGCAACCAGUAGUAAUUUUAGUCUAAGUGAAUUUGAAGAAGAUUUCUCCAGUUCUGUCGGUCGGCAGACUUCAGAAGUUAAUUCUGACAGAGUUUUAGAUCACCCUAGUAUGUUGCUUAGAAGAAGAAAGGAAGAAAGAAAGAAAGAAAGAAAUUCAGGAGAACCUGCGGCCCCACCACCAACAGUGCCAGCUACCCGAAGUGAAAACAGAGACAUGUCUGAGAUUGACACUUUACAACAACAAAGGCUCAGAGGUACACUUAUUCCAAAUGUUGGACAGUAUAAAUACAGUGGAAACUUGUUUAUCAUUGAAGCAGGCACCAAAAUCUGACCUUAUUAACAGUCAGACUGACCAUAUUAUAUACAAGCUUGG